rnacentral:rRNA from 1 species
UACGGAAGGGGCUAGCGUUGUUCGGAAUCACUGGGCGUAAAGCGCGCGUAGGCGGCUUUGCAAGUGCGGCGUGAAAGUCCUGGGCUCAACCUGGGGACGGCGCUGCGGACUGCUUGGCUGGAGUCCGGAAGAGGGUGGUGGAAUUCCGAGUGUAGAGGUGAAAUUCGUAGAUAUUCGGAGGAACACCGGUGGCGAAGGCGGCCACCUGGUCCGGUACUGACGCUGAAGCGCGAAAGCGUGGGGAGCAAACAGG